UAUGGAGGGGGUAAGGCGAGGAGCGAAUGCUGGGCGGUGACGAGAAAGAGGACGGUUUAGAGAGGCGUACCGGCAAUCAGCAAUGGAACGGUUUGAUGCCGUUUUAUCGUCCUUUUCCUCUUGCAAUAAUUCCGAUAUUUCCACCUCAACAAAAGGCGAGGAAAUGAGGGAGGGGCGGGCAAAGAGAUCGCUGCUGUUGUGUGCUUGGUUGCGUCCGGAAGCUUCGCCUCUGUCUCUCUCUAUCUCUCCUCCCUUUCGCUUCGUUUCUAGUUUCGAUCACACCAUUCUUGGGACGAUGCUCGAGAUCUGGUAGUUUCUUGCCUUCAGAUCCAGUAAGGGUUUCGUUCUCUUAACUUGCUUGCCUGAUCUCACCGUGUGUGAGUGGAUCCUUGGGGAACCAGGAUGCGCGUUUAAUCGAGUACUCUUCCUUUGUUUUCUUACCGAUGAUGAAAGACUCUUCGUUUGCCUUGGAUCUCAAAUUCUUCUUCUUCUUCUUAUUCCUAUUUUUCAGAUUCUUUUGCUUUAAUUUUUGGUUGUAUAGCUUAUUAGAAGAUUCUACCUCGUUGGAGCAGACGGAUCUCGGAGAAGUAUCCACAUCACACUGCGGUUUAUGAUGGGGUUUCUUGUUGAUGCGCUUGCAUGAGCGUUGUUGGUUGACAACGAGAGAGAGCACGCCGGUCCGAGGCCCAUGCCGGCUGCCAUGGUCCAGUACUAGCGUGCUCCUUCUCGUUGUCACCCCGUUUCGCCUCACCAACAUCAAUCGCUUCUUCUUGCCCCAUAUUCCUACCGUCGGCCUUGUCGAGAUGAAGUGCUGCAUCUGAUAGGUUGGCUAAAUGAGGCUUGAGCAACAGUUCAUGCUGAACCAAUGUACUUCAAACAUAAGCCGGCAGGACAUCUUUAUGUGCAAAUUUGAAUUUGGUAGUGUAGAACCCCAUUUCAAGGAAAUAGGGUGAGUCAGUUUGAUGUUCUUUUACUUAAUAUUACUUAAUUUUUUUCUGAAAAUAAGAACGCAUAAUUUGCUUUAAGUUGGUCCUACUCGUUAUCCUUCAAUUGUACCUAAUACAAUCCAUUGUAAAUCGUGGUCUAGACAUAGUGACAAUCCAACAUGGAAAGUAAUAUGACUGAAUCAGAUUCAAGUCAAAUUAAGUGAUUUUUGAAUCUGACUCAACUAAUCCAACUGAAGUUUGUCACAAAGUUUCUGCAUGUCGCAGAUAGUAGGAAAACAUUAGAAAUCCACUUCAUUUCCUGUAACUUCUACAGAGAAAAACGCCAUUUAGUGUAUUGCUAUUCCUCAAAUUUUCACUUACUAUGAUUUUUUUCAGAAUUGUAACCAUUCAAAUUGAGCCGAAGAUGUUCCUAGGAAUUAGCAUUUGAACAGUGAAGUGUUUCCUCCAAUUAUAGUUCUUGUUUAUAUCAGUGGAGGACUCUUUCAGCUUUCAACAAUGCAAUUUUGUGCCACUAAUUUAUAUUUAUUUCUUUACAAAUGUAUCUAAUGAUGCUGCAGUUGGUUCAACUAUUCUUGAAGUGGACUGGUAGUAUUCUGAUUAAUUUUUGUCCUGCUAACAAAAAAAAUUGCUUGCAAACUGAUACUAUAAUGCUAUGACUUAUGGUGAUAAUUGAAUUCAUCAUAUCUGUGCCUUUCCGUGUGACAGUGAAAUUAGAUGCAAAUAUAGAUAUAUCUACAGCCAAUACUAGUGAAUUGUCUCAACAACAACAAGGUCGUAAAGUCUCAACCAUUUUGGGAGUACUAGUGAAUUGUCUAUCUUGUUGAAGUUAUCUUGGUAACAAAGAUACAAUCAACAUGAGAAAUAGUGAUAUUUAUACAGCGGUUCAGUGCUAGUCAGCUAGAUAUAUCAAGAAGGGAUGAGAAGGACAUGUUAUACCACUUGUUUUUUUUACAUCUUAAGCUUCACAUUGAAAAGAACCAUUCUAUAACUUUGUUCCUUAACAUGCAAUGGUUUCAUCAGCUGAGGUAAUUCCGUCCAGCAAUAUAAUUUAAAUCUGUCCAAUUUUUACUUAUUGCUUUCUCUUUUCUUCCUAUAUAUUCUUACCCAUCAUGCAUUGGCAACAAUCAUUUGAAAUUAUUUUUUUCCUUCUGCAUUUUCUAUUUUUUGAUGUAUCCUUUUGUCAAUUGUUCACACAGUAGGUGGGUGAGACAUGUGAAAUUUACCAUUAUAUAUUUUUUUAUUUUCAAUCAUGUACGAUGCAUGUUCUAAAUUACAUGCUCUCUUUAA